AUGCACGCUGGCGGCGUGCCUAAUACAUGCAGGUCGAGCGAACAGACGAGGAGCUUGCUCCUCUGACGUUAGCGGCGGACGGGUGAGUAACACGUGGAUAACCUACCUAUAAGACUGGGAUAACUUCGGGAAACCGGAGCUAAUACCGGAUAAUAUAUUGAACCGCAUGGUUCAAUAGUGAAAGACGGUUUUGCUGUCACUUAUAGAUGGAUCCGCGCCGCAUUAGCUAGUUGGUAAGGUAACGGCUUACCAAGGCAACGAUGCGUAGCCGACCUGAGAGGGUGAUCGGCCACACUGGAACUGAGACACGGUCCAGACUCCUACGGGAGGCAGCAGUAGGGAAUCUUCCGCAAUGGGCGAAAGCCUGACGGAGCAACGCCGCGUGAGUGAUGAAGGUCUUCGGAUCGUAAAACUCUGUUAUUAGGGAAGAACAAAUGUGUAAGUAACUAUGCACGUCUUGACGGUACCUAAUCAGAAAGCCACGGCUAACUACGUG
rnacentral:rRNA from 1 species